AUGUUAAGAGGCACAAAAGAUAGGACCCUGUAAGCCUUCCAGCAGCAUGCAGGCUGAAGAGAGACUGACAAAUAAAAAUUCAAUAGGAACAUGCAGGUUGAUCAAAAGUAAGUUAAUUACAGCUUACCAGAACUUUUACUAAUCUAUAUUGACAUCUAGGAGCCUUCCAAGAGAAAGUGUUCUUCAUGUUUGAAGAAGAUGGGGCCAUCGUUUGGCAGGAAAUAGGAAGGUCAAGCCAAGACAAAAGUAUCCACCGAAUGUCCCUCUGCACCAGCAUGUGGGGUGUUACAGCAGGCAGAGUCCCUGACGACCUCUACCUCCGGCCACCACCAUCCACACAGGAGCCUUUAUCAGAAGUGCCGUCUCCUGUGUUUACCCACCUUCUGGAUGUGUGUGCAGAGUGGUGCAAAGAGUUGGAAGCAUUGCUGAGGGAGUGCAAGUGGAAGGCCUCUUCUGGAAAUUCCCUCCCCGUGUUAGAUCUGGCAGAGCCACUGGGAGUCAGAGCAGCAGAGGGACCCGAGUGACACUAGGUGAGAAGCUGUGCGGACAGACGACUUGAGCCUGGUUGCUAUGACAGCCAGGAAUUUGCAAACCAAACCAGACCUGGAGAAGAAGUCUGUCCUUGGCCCAAAAAGUCUGCAGUUCCAAAUGGUUCUGCUCAAGGUUCUUGUUGUCUUAUUUGACACCUGCCAGAUGGAAGAACCUCUAAACCUGGGAUUUGGAAAUGUCCCAACAGAAAGGCUAUUUCCAAGCUGGCUGAAGCUGUGUUCAACGGAAUUGAGGUGUGAUAGAAGGAACUUCUUGGCAAGAAAAACUGGAAAAUAUUACAAUAGGUCCCAGAGAGAACCUCAUUAUCUUCUCGAAAAAAAUUUUAUAUUUGUUUAGUGUUCUGUGGUUUGCUAAGCACAUUCACAUAAAUUAUCUAAUUGGCUCUUCACAUCCGCCUGGUGAAGGAGUAAAAAUAGAUAUCAUAAUACUUGACCAAAGACAAGGAAAAUGAAGUUCAAUAAAAAUAAGAUCAAACAGCCAACAAGCAACAGAACUGAGAUUCGAAUCUGGGUUUUCCGACUGUAAAUGUAGCUCUUUUAAUUCUAUUAUGAUAAUUCCCCAAAAUAUAAAAGAGAUCACAUCUGAGCUGGACAGCUUAGAAAUAGGUAUUUUUCUAAAAUAAAGUGAUGUUGUAGAUAAUUUUUUUGUGGUAAAAUACACAUGAUGUAAAAUUUACCACUUUAAUCAUUUUUUUAAUUUUUGUUUUUGAGACGGAGUCACACUCUGUCGCCCAGGUUGGAGUGCAGUGGUGUAAUCUCAGCUCACUGCUACAUCCGCCUCCCAGGUUCAAGCAGUCCUCUGCCUCAGCCUCCCCAGUAGCUGGAAUUACAGGUACGCACCAGACCCUGCUAAUUUUUGUAUUUUUAGUAAGAUGGGGUUUCACCAUGUUGGCCAGGCUGGUCUCGAACUCCUGACCUCGUAAUCUGCCCGCCUCAGCCUCCCAAAGUGCUGGCAUUAUAGGUGUGAGCCACCAUACCCAGUCGCACUUUAAUCAUUUUUAAAUGUACAAUUGACAGGAAUCAAGUACAUUCAUUAUCGUGCAACUGUCACCACCAUCUCUCUAGAACUUCUUCAUCUUCUCAAACUGAAACUCUGUACUCUUUAAAUAAUAACUCCCCAAGUCCCUCCUCUCAGCCCCUGGAAACCAUCAUUCUACUCUAUGAAUUUGACCACUCUAGGUAACUCAUAUAAGUGGAAUUACACAGUAUUUGGCCUUUUGUGACUGGCUCAUGUCACUUAGUAUAACGUCUUCAAAGUUCAGCCAUGUUGUAGCGUGUAUCAGAAUUUUCUUCCUUUUUGAGGCUGAGAAUAUACAAUUGUAAAGAUAUACCACAUGUUGGCUAUUCAUCUAUCGGUAUAUGGCCACUUGGGGUUGCCUCCACCUUUUGGCUA
ensembl:lincRNA